rnacentral:ncRNA from 1 species
GAAAGCUGUGUGCAAUGAAAAAUGCAAGCACGGUUUGGGGAGGGAUUUUUUAUUCUUUUAAAUUCAAAUUUAUUUAAUUGAAACAAGGAAAUUAUCUACUCCAU